rnacentral:rRNA from 1 species
AGUGAACGCUGGCGGUAGGCCUAACACAUGCAAGUCGAACGGCAGCACAGUAAGAGCUUGCUCUUACGGGUGGCGAGUGGCGGACGAGUGAGGAAUACAUCGGAAUCUACUUUUUCGUGGGGGAUAACGUAGGGAAACUUACGCUAAUACCGCAUACGACCUACGGGUGAAAGCAGGGGAUCUUCGGACCUUGCGCGAUUGAAUGAGCCGAUGUCGGAUUAGCUAGUUGGCGGGGUAAAGGCCCACCAAGGCGACGAUCCGUAGCUGGUCUGAGAGGAUGAUCAGCCACACUGGAACUGAGACACGGUCCAGACUCCUACGGGAGGCAGCAGUGGGGAAUAUUGGACAAUGGGCGCAAGCCUGAUCCAGCCAUACCGCGUGGGUGAAGAAGGCCUUCGGGUUGUAAGCCCUUUUGUUGGGAAAGAAAAGCAGCAGGUUAAUACCCCGCUGUUCUGACGGUACCCAAAGAAUAAGCACCGGCUAACUUCGUG